AUGGAAGGACCUGUGCUUCAGUAUGGUAUGCUUCAGUAUGGUAUGCUUCAGUAUGGUAUGCUUCAGUAUGGUAUGCUUCAGUAUGGUAUGAUACUGAACAUUUCUCUCUUUCUCCCUCCCCCUUAUCUCCAUUGUCCUUCUCUCUCUCUCUACCAGGAAGCGUCAAUCAGUGUCUGGCUCCAGUUCAGUGAUGAUAGCGCCACGUUGCUCUCCACCUUCAGCCGUGGUACCUUCGCCCUUCGCCUCUCCUCAUUGGCAGAGACCGUGGUUGCCGUGAUGCCCGGCCCGUUGCUGCGCGUCGUCGCCCAGGGCGAAGGGGGCGGGCCUUUACUGAAAGCAGAACUCCUGGUCACCCCCUGCAAGCCAAUGGCGAACUCCGUUGACGGGGACCUGGCCAAUUCGAAAGAAGGAAGCGGGACCAGGAGGCUGGCUAAAGGAUCAGGUUGGAUCAGGGUGAACCUGGACAAAGACCUUCGUCCAAUGGGAAGCGAGGAGGCGGACUUGGAGCUGCUCGACAUGUCGGACAUGCUGGUUGAGUCAUCGGACAGGGACGUUAAGUACAGCAACUUCCUGGACAAUGACAUCAUCAUAGGGAACGUCACCACCGUCAAAGGUGACGACUACUAUGACAAGGCCGGCGAUGGGAUGAUCGCCAGGAACGACCUGGAGAGAGCGGUGUUGACCCCACAUCACGAAGAGAGCGCUGUGUACUUCUCUCCCGGGGUGGAGCGAGAGAGGGAGGGGAAACUGGAGGAUACAGAGCUGGGGGUGGGUGUCGGGGCAGUUCUCUCCCUUCUCUGCCUCUCCGUACUUCUCUUCCUGGUGAAUUGUCUGCCCUGCGCUUUGAGGGAGCGGAGGAUGAGGAGGAAGGGCGUGAACACGGAGGGGGUGGAGGGAGUGGUGAAGGAAGAGGGGGAGGAAGGAAAAGAGGAGGCGGCAAAGGAUGUUGCAGAAAAGAACGACAUAGUGACAUCGUACCCCGGGGUAAUAUCGCUCCAUGAGACUAUUCCAGAAGAGAAAGAGGGGCAGUCAGAUCAAAGCCUUGACCAUUAA
rnacentral:lncRNA from 13 species